UAAGGAAUAUUGGUCAAUGGACGCAAGUCUGAACCAGCCAUGCCGCGUGGAGGAUGAAGGUCCUCUGGAUUGUAAACUUCUUUUAUCUGGGAAGAAAUGCAUUUUUUCUAAAGUGUUUGACGGUACCAGAUGAAUAAGCACCGGCUAACUCCGUGCCAGCAGCCGCGGUAAUACGGAGGGUGCAAGCGUUAUCCGGAUUCACUGGGUUUAAAGGGUGCGUAGGUGGGCAGUUAAGUCAGUGGUGAAAUCUCCGGGCUCAACCCGGAAACUGCCAUUGAUACUAUCUGUCUUGAAUAUCGUGGAGGUAAGCGGAAUAUGUCAUGUAGCGGUGAAAUGCUUAGAUAUGACAUAGAACACCAAUUGCGAAGGCAGCUUACUACCCGAAUAUUGACACUGAGGCACGAAAGCGUGGGGAUCAAACAG
rnacentral:rRNA from 1 species